rnacentral:rRNA from 1 species
AUCUGAGUAUAUCAAUAUUACCUUGUUCAGAACUUAAAGAGAAAUCUUGAGUUUAUGGACUUCAGGGGGAGUAUGGUCACAAGGCUGAAACUUAAAGGAAUUGACGGAAGGGCACACCAGGAGUGGAGCCUGCGGCUUAAUUUGACUCAACACGGGAAAACUUACCAAGACCGAACAGUAGAAGGAAUGACAGAUUAAGAGUUCUUUCAUGAUUUAUUGGGUAGUGGUGCAUGGCCGUUCUUAGUUGGUGGAGUGAUUUGUCAGGUUAAUUCCGGUAACGAACGAGACUGAAACCUAUUAAUUAGUUUUCUGCCUAUAAGACAGAAAUGUUCGCAAGAACAGGUGCGUAAGUACCACUUCUUAAAGGGACACAUUUCAAUUGUCCUAUUUUAAUUGUAGUUAUCUAAUUU